CCUGGCGGCAGUAGCGCGGUGGUCCCACCUGACCCCAUGCCGAACUCAGAAGUGAAACGCCGUAGCGCCGAUGGU
rnacentral:rRNA from 1 species